CACUCGACCUAGGGUUUAAUUUCUUCGUAUCUUUUUGAUUCGAUUGUGGGCUUUACAUAUCGGUUUCGGAAAGAAUUUUCAGAAUUUUAAGGUUUUCAAAACCUAAAAUCUUCGAUUUCACUUUGAAUUCUUAUCCGAUUCACAAUCGGUGUUUCUAUCUAUAAAAUUGUUAUGAUUCUCAUCAUUUUGAACUGAAGUUCGAGAAAUUUUAUCAUCGAGGUUUAGGUUUUAUCAAUGUGAUUCAACUGAUCUUUGUAAUCGUUUGAUCAUGAUUUACAAAUUGAUUUCAGAUUUACAAUCGGUGAAUCUCAAUCUAUGUUACCCCUCCAAUAUUUCCUAACAAGAGCAAUUUCAAAUCUUAGAAUUUUAUAUCCGUUCAAUCUUUUACAUAAUACCUGUAUUACGGUACAAUUUGUUAUUGAAUGAAUACCUUAUGCAUCUGAAGUUGUGUGGAACUCAUGUAAUUGUAUUUUUGAUAAGGUUCACUCAAAGUUAUAUUUAACAGAAACGAUGAUAUCCUCUGUGAAUGAAUAUAUCUUGCCUUAAGUUUUACAUGCCUAAUGCCUUCAUUUAUAAGCAUCUACCUUACUGUUUUUAUGCUCUGGAAGUUAUUAAUUAUAUAUAUAUGUUUGAUAAUGGUGAGUAUCCAAACUCUUUAGCUGUCCUGUGAAGCUUCAUAACUGUCUGAAUGAUUCUAACUUUCAACUAUGGAUAGCAAAUGAACGAAGUCCAUUGUCCAGUAUAGGUUCUGAAGAAUCUUUUCAAUUUGAAUACCAUUAAAUGGGUUUGAUUAAAAAAAUAAUCAAUUUUUUCAAUUCUAUAGUCCAUUGCCCAAUGGCAAAAUUGUGCUACUGUGGAUGCCGUAAGUCAUUGAUUUUAAGUUAUUGGUCUGUGCUUUUUUCUUUUUUCUGUUUGAAUGUAAGUGAUCGUAAAGUUGUAGAGCUACUACAGAUGGGACAACAUCAACAUAACUUACAUCAGCUUAAUAAGAAGCUAAGUAUCACUACCUGUACUCAUAUGUUAAUGUUGUAUAUCGACUACCAGAUGGAAAGGUAUAUUGGUUACGUAUUUUCUUUUUGAGAUGAUUUUGGGCGUUUCUGGAAGUUGUCCUGGUUUGACAUUGAUGAUUGUGUUUUUAUUUGUAUGGGUCAGGUAAUUAGUGGUACGAAUCCAGCUUACUGGGUUUCUGGAAACAAACAAUGGCAAGAGCAGUGGAAAUCAGUUUAUGGAUGAGCAGAAUGCUUGUGGUGUACCUCAGCAGUUUGUGGAUGCUAAAGAAGAGAAGAUUAGGAAGAAAAUGGUUGACGGGAGUUCAAUGUUAUAUAACUAGAAGAGGAUUAUGGGGUUAGCCUAGUUUCAUCUUACUACGGGAUGAGGGACCUAUAAGAGAAACCGAUAGGAACAUUAGCAAAAUCCUGAGAAGAAAACAUGAAGAGCUGAUAUUGAGCGAGAAAUCUGGUUAAAGAAACAACAUUCCUCAUUGAAAAGAAAUCUUUUCAGGAUCUUCUCCAAAAGCAAGAAGGUGAUCAAGCAAUGUGGUAUGAAUGUUGUUUAUAAAUGUUAAGCAGAUAAUGGGGAGUAUCCAAACUCUUGAUGCAUGAUAACAUCAAAUAUUCUUUAGCUAUCAACUGAUGAAUGUCUGUCGUGUGAAACAUCUUAACUUGUAAGAUGUAACUGUCUGAAUGAUUCCAACUUUCAACUAUGGAUCCCUAAAAAAUCAAAAUUACUAAAUUCUGAGACUCUGCUGACUUGAUGCCUCUUUGACUAAAUCAUUAUUUUCUGUGAGAUUUUACUUACUACUUAGUUGUUGUGAUGUUGAAGGCUUGGAAUUGUAUCAGAAUUGUUUAACUAUUCAUCCAGUUAAGACCCAAAUCAUCAGUUCUGGUAUUCUAUCGGGAAUCGGAGAUAUUGCUGCUCAGAGAAUCACUCAUUCUAGAAGGAUAAAAGUAGAAGUAGAACCACAUCAAAAAACCCAUGAUGAUGAUGAUGAGGAUGAAAAAUUCAAGGGCAAUUGUAAAAGAGCAGCUAUCACAAGUGGGUUUGGUUUUGGAUUUGUUGGUCCAAUUGGCCACUACUGGCACUGGGUAUCAUGUAGCAGGAGCAACCUGAAAGGUAUUUACGAAUGGAGCAUCUCCUAGUUCCUGGUCUAGAAGGGUUUGAUUGAGUUACGGGAAUGUCAUUUUCUUGGAUGACAGGGGUUUAUUCUCUCUCGCAGAGAAUUGCAGUGCUCACCACCCCUACUAAUAAAUUGCACUGCAUUUUUGGGCGGUUGGUUUCUAAUUCCUGCAUCGAGUGAUACUAAUGACCUCUUAAAAGACUUUUUAAUUUAGUUGAGGUGAAUUAUAUAUGCAUCCAGAUACGACUAGCUUAAUUGAUCAAACUGCAUGCAACGUAAUUCAUGAAGGUAAACUUUGUCUCAAUGUCACUUCUAUAACUUUGUAUAUUAUGUUCUUGAGAUAACAAAAAAAAUCAAUAGAAGUUAUCUGUCCCGUCAACCUGGAGAGGUAUGUUUGCCUAGCAGAAUAUACUAAAUUUUCUUUCGACUAAUCAACUUAUUAUUGUGAAUCCCUUCUUUUCCACAAUUAUUAGGUUUUUUGAUUUUCUCAUGUACAUUUUUAUUCCGCAUUGAUGAUCUCGCGCGUCUUUGAGAUGUUGUAGAUAAUGGAUAUAAAACAGAUAUGAUAUAAAAAAUGGGCAGGAACCAAGGACAGGAAAAUUGGACUCAGUUGUUACAUUUGGUAGAACCAAGGACAGGAAAUUUCUGGACUAGAUGAUAUAAAUGGGCAAGUUUAACUUGUGGGAAUGUCUACUGUUCCUAUAGGGUCAAUGGUUGAAUUCCAUCAGGUUGUUUUAUUUUGGAUUCACGGGAGGAAAAUUGCUCAUAUAGGAACGAAAAAUCAAAUACAAGGAAAAUUACGAAAACAUGACAAUGGGGAUGAUUUUACUUUUUGUCACUUAAGCUGAAAUCUUAUUGACUUCAGGAAAGUCAUAGAGAAGUCUCAAAUGCAGAAGCAAGGAUCCAAUGUAGGUUUAAGGCCAUGGAGAAAGAAUAUACAUUGAAUUUUUCUGGUGUUGGUCAGUCCAGAAACUCACCAAGCAGAAGCAUAGAGAAGUCUUUACAUAAUGGCUGGAUGCAUGUUAUCUUUGUAAAUAACUAUAGUAACCGAAAUUUUCAGUUUAGGAACAUGCUAAGUCUGUAAGACCUGCCAAUUGAUCUUACUACACAGACCUGAGUCUGGGAACAAACUAUUAAGUUGGUUAAAAAGAAUUGGAGUAAAGGAAAUAAAAGAAAAUCCUA